CGGUGGAUGUAUCAGCGGGUCAUUCAGACAGAUAUUGUGGUUUCUGAAGAAACAAUCAAACUGAUGAUCAACAUUUGUGAUCCAGAGGGAGUCAAGCUCAGAUGAGCACCACGUCUCUGACACCAGCGGUAACCUACACCUGCAGACACCAACACCUAAUUAUGGCAUAUGGAUUCAUAUCAUAAACUAAAGCUCAAUGCCAUUCACAGAUAUUUACGGCUGCAUUAACAGAUACACUCACCGGCCACUUUAUUAGGUACACCUGUCCAACUGCUCGUUAACACUUAAUUUCUAAUCAGCCAAUCACAUGGCGGCAACUUAGUGCAUUUAGGCAUGUAGACAUGGUCAAGACAAUCUCCUGCAGUUCAAACCGAGCAUCAGUAUGGGGAAGAAAGGUGAUUUGAGUGACUUUGAACGUGGCAUGGUUUUUGGUGCCAGAAGGGCUGGUCUGAGUAUUUCAGAAACUGCUGAUCUACUGGGAUUUUCACGCACAACCAUCUCUAGGGUUUACAGAGAAUGGUCCAAAAAAGAAAAAAUAUCCAGUGAGCGGCAGUUCUGUGGGCGGAAAUGCCUUGUUGAUGCCAGAGGUCAGAGGAGAAUGGCCAGACUGGUUCGAGCUGAUAGAAAGGCAACAGUGACUCAAAUAACCACCCGUUACAACCAAGGUAGGCAGAAGAGCAUCUCUGAACGCACAGUACGUCGAACUUUGAGGCAGAUGGGCUACAGCAGCAGAAGACCACGCCAGGUGCCACUCCUUUCAGCUAAGAACAGGAAACUGAGGCUACAAUUUGCACAAGCUCAUCGAAAUUGGACAAUAGAAGAUUGGAAAAACGUUGCCUGGUCUGAUGAGUCUCGAUUUCUGCUGCGACAUUCGGAUGGUAGGGUCAGAAUUUGGCUUCAACAACAUGAAAGCAUGGAUCCAUCCUGC